CCCUUAGAUGUCCGGGGCCGCACGCGCGCUACACUGAAGGAAUCAGCGUGGCUUUCUCCCUGACCCGAAAGGGUUGGGAAACCCGUUGAAUCUCCUUCGUGAUAGGGAUUGGGGCUUGAAAUUGUUCCCCAUGAACGAGGAAUUCCCAGUAAGCGCGAGUCAUAAGCUCGCGUUGAUUACGUCCCUGCCCUUUGUACACACCGCCCGUCGCUACUACCGAUUGAACGGUUUAGUGAGGGCCUCGGAUUGGUCUCGGCCCGCUCUUUACCGGGCGGCGCCGUUGGUCGAGAAGACGCUCGAACUGGAUCGUUUAGAGGAAGUAAAAGUCGUAACA
rnacentral:rRNA from 1 species